GUCUCGGCUAGCCCAUAUCGUCGUCAACACGUAGCAGUGGGAAGCUGUCGCGGGAUAAAAUCGAAAACCCAGUGAAGUUAGGUUUUGCCAGCUAAAACUGAAAAGGAACGCGAGUGCAAAGUUAAACCUAUCCGCAGGUGGAAAAUCAUUCUGCUGGGAGUGAGUAGACAGAAAACCCUUGGCAAGGUAGGCGCAUUGUGGCAGUGAAUUUGUACAGAACUAAUGGCCAUUUUGAUGACAGGUGAUUCUCCAUCCCGGAAGCAAGAAGCUAGUCACAGCGCUUGCUAGCGCCGCCAUUUUGAAACUGCAUGAUAACGUGCUGAUCGCCAGCCUCGACAAACAAAAAUUACCCACACCCGGUGGACGGACGGUGUCCGAUAAAUCGUUUCGCGCUAGUUCUCGCUGCGGAACUCGACAAAAAACCGUCACGGUCCGGUUGGCAGACGAACAGCCAAGACAGCCGGGUAUUGCGAGCCAAGAAGCUAGCCGAGAGAAAGAAGCAGAGAACAAAAGCCUUCCAUUGCACUAAGGGCCAGAAUCGCAAUCUAGCGGAACAAAAUUAACUACUCCAAAGCGAAGCAUUUCCGACACAUGGUAUCUUCGACAAAGUUGCUUGACAUCAGCAGGGGCAUCUAUUGAUAAGAACGUAGUAGUUCGCAACUCGUCCGCAUAGGUGGCGCCACCAUCUAACUUCUUUGUUUUACGUCCUAGAGACUUGGCAUCUUCGGCAAAGUUGUUCAUUUUGGCAAAAUAAACAAUACUCUCUCAGACGUCAAAAUUCCACAGCCUACUGUUUUCGAGU